AUCUAUAUCCAUAAUGCUCUGAAUACAUCUAAUCUGAGAAACUAAGCAGAGUCAGGCCUGGUUUAGUAAGUACUUCUUGGAUGAAAGACCACCUGGGAAUACUGGCUACUGUAGUCU
rnacentral:rRNA from 1 species